ACUUAUCCUAGGGAAACUGCUUAUAUGAAAGAAAAAAAAAAAAAAAACACGUGAAAGAGUUGUUAGACUGGUGAUCGCUCAGAAAACAAAAGGAUAAGAAAUAUGUAUGUUGUCAAUUUCCUUGGAAAAUCCUUC
ensembl:misc_RNA predicted gene, 27755